GUUUAUCAAAAACAUGGCCUCUUGAAUUAAUAAUAUGAGGUCUGACCUGCCCACUGAGAAUUUGAAGGGCCGCGGUAUUUUGACCGUGCAAAGGUAGCAUAAUCAUUAGUCUCUUAAUUGGAGGCUGGAAUGAAUGGUUGGACGAGGCAUUGACUGUCUCAUUGUAGAUGAUUUUAGAAUUUAACAUUUGAGUGAAAAGGCUUAAAUAGUUUUAGAGGACGAGAAGACCCUAUAGAUCUUUAUAUAGCUUCUUUAAUCAUUAUUUGGUUGUGGAAUUUGGUUAGGGUAUGCUAAUAUUUUGUUGGGGUGAUGGGAAGAUAAAAUAAACUCUUUUUAUUUAUGUUAUACAGUGAUUUUUGGAUUUUUGAUCCGUUAUUGGCGAUUAUAAGAUUAAGUUACCUUAGGGAUAACAGCGUAAUCUUUUUUGAGAGUUCUUAUCGACAAAAAGGGUUGCGACCUCGAUGUUGGAUUAAGGUUAAAUUUGGGUGCAGGUGUUCAAAUUUUUAGGUCUGUUCGACCUUUAAAUCCUUACAUGAUCCUGAGGUUCAAACCGGAGA
rnacentral:rRNA from 1 species